rnacentral:lncRNA from 9 species
GUAAUGCUUAGAGAAUGUACCUAUCUUUCCAGAAUCGCACAUCAAAUCCAUGAUGGGAAUCCAAACCAGAUGCAUAGACUCCCAAGCCUGUGACCGUAGCCCACCUGCACGAUGAAAUAACCCUUCUAGGCAGUGAGUUCUGCUUCCUAAGGUGUCCUCAGAUUUCUUUUCCAAGAUCCCAGGACCCUCAGCUGAUGCCGGCUCCAGCCUAAGUGAGCAAUGGAGAAGCUGUCACUACCCAUUAUAUUUUGGAUGGUGCCUGGGGACUCUCCUAGUUUUGAGGAAAGUUGGCAACAGAAAAAGGAACAUCUGAGGAAGGAGCCGUCAGCAAGGUCCUGGGGCCUCCUGUGAACCCAGGCCUCCUGCCGCCUUGGGCACUGCACUUCUUACCACUCAGUACUGUGCUGGGGUCCACGGCCCCACAGGGACUACAGAAAACAUGAC